GACAGAGGGUGCAAACGUUGCUCGGAUUUACUGGGCGUAAAGGGCGCGUAGGCGGCCACCGCAAGUCGACUGUGAAAUCUCCGGGCUUAACCCGGAAAGGUCAGCCGAUACUGCGGGGCUAGAGUGCAGAAGGGGCAACUGGAAUUCUCGGUGUAGCGGUGAAAUGCGUAGAUAUCGAGAGGAACACCUGCGGCGAAGGCGGGUUGCUGGGCUGACACUGACGCUGAGGAGCGAAAGUGUGGGGAGCGAACAGG
rnacentral:rRNA from 1 species